rnacentral:rRNA from 1 species
GACGAACGCUGGCGGCGUGCUUAACACAUGCAAGUCGAACGGUGAACCUCUGCGGAGGGGAGCAGCGGCGGAGGGGAGAGGAACACGUGGGCAAGAGGCACCCGGCCCUGGGAUAACGACAAGAAAAGGGGGCUAAGGCUGGUAGCUCACCGCAGCCCGCGCGGCAGGGGGUGGAAAGGGUUGUCGGCUGGGGAUGGGCUCGCGGCGUAUCAGCUCGGUGGUGGGGUAGUGGCGUACCAAGGCAACGACGGGUAGCCGGCCUGAGAGGGUGACCGGCCACACUGGGCCUGAGACACGGCCCAGACUCCUACGGGAGGCAGCAGUGGGGAAUAUUGCGCAAUGGGCGGAAGCCUGACGCAGCGACGCCGCGUGGGGGAUGACGGCCUUCGGGUUGUAAACCUCCUUCACCAGGGACGAAGCGCGAGUGACGGUACCUGCAGAAGAAGCACCGGCCAACUACGUG